CACUAAGAAGCUAAUAGGACUUAAGCAUCAGCCUUUUAAGCUGAAAACUGGUGACUUCCAACCACCCUUAGUAG
rnacentral:tRNA from 1 species